rnacentral:misc_RNA from 1 species
CUGAGUUCAUGCCCUUACGGGUAGACCUCCCACCCUAUGUUAUAUUACCUUCGUUGCUUUGGCAGGCCGUCAGGCUUCGGUCAGGCUACCGGCUCAAGCUGGUAAGCGCCUGCCAGAGGACCCUAAACUCUGAAUAUUAGUGUCGUCUGAGUACUAUAAAAUAGUUA